GGGCCGUUGGCGCAAUUGGUAGCGCAGUGGACUCCAGAUCCAAAGGUUGGGCGUUCAAGUCGCUCACGGCUCA